AACAACAAGGAGCAGACGGAGGAGACGUGAAGUCUGAGGCUGAGACAGAUGUGAACAGCAGGUCUGGAACAAAGAGCCUUCAAAGGACUAAUUCACAGAUGGUCACCAACCAGUGGAGAGUCUUCACUGUGGAUCCCAGUAAAGCUCUGGACUCACUGGCUGAGGUGUGAGGAACAUCGACCUGCAGAGCCAGAUAAACAUUGAAACUGGUGAGAAAGAUCAUUUCACUGUGUUCUGCUGUAAACUGAGCGCAGGACGAGAAGGAAACAGACCAGACCUGGAACAUCUAGAAGAGCAGCGUGGCCUGAACCACAACUGAGCCGCAGCCGGCCCGGUGUAACAUGGACGAGGACAUUUCAGAGCAAGUUGGACCCUCACACACAAAAGGUCAGGACCACAGACUGAGAGCAGAGUCUCCAGGGUCCAGCUGUGUGUCUCUGAAGAGUGACAUGUCCAUGGGACAUCCUCUAGACUUCAGUAAUGAACCUGGACCCUCACACACAGAG